rnacentral:rRNA from 1 species
GAUGAACGCUAGCGGGAGGCCUAAUACAUGCAAGUCGAACGGUAACAGGGUAGCAAUACCGCUGACGAGUGGCGCACGGGUGAGUAACACGUACACAACCUGCCUUAUACUGGAGCAUAGCCUUGGGAAACUAAGAUUAAUUCUCCAUAAUAUUAUGAAGCGGCAUCGCUUUAUAAUUAAAAUUCCGAUGGUAUAAGAUGGGUGUGCGUCUGAUUAGCUUAGNGGUGAGGUAACGGCUCACCAAGGCAACGAUCAGUAACUGGUCUGAGAGGAUGAUCAGUCACACGGGCACUGAG